AAAUCUGACAUCAUAGAGCAGGGAUAGGCAACCAUCGGCACUCCAGAUGUUGCAGACUACAUCUCCCAGAAUGCUUUUAAAGAGAAAAUUGUGGCAAAGCAUCAGGGGAGAUGUAGUCCACAACAUCUGGAGUUCCGAAGGUUGCCGUCAUAGAGAGAUUAAGCAGUAGCCAAAGCGAUAUGUUGUGUGAACAUUAGUGAGCUCUGCUCUUGGAGAUCUGAGCGUCCAGACAUUUUAGGAGCUUAGAUUCAAGGCUUCUUAGACUACUGUCCACUCUCUUUAUAGAAACACUUAUGUUUUCUGCAAGGCAGUGGAUCCAAGCUAUCAAUUUAUAAAUGACACCAACAGUAAAUUGGGCCAUAGGGCAAGCCAUUCUCCAAUUAUGUUCCACAAAAGAGUUAUGUUUCAUGCUACAUAUUGUGCAGUUACAG